UCCCUCUCUUCACCCCCGGAUCCCCUCUCCCCUAUGCCUUUUCCCUCGGAAAACUCUCCCUCACCUCUCCGUGACUCACUCACACACACACACACACACAAUGACCCCAAACCAAUGCAACGAGGACAAAAGAGCUUUAGAAACCCCGUGACAAGCUGAUGAACCAUCUAGCAACGCUGUCACUGUUCAUCAUCUUCCCCGACAUGUUUUCAUGAUUUUCGACAUUGGACAUAGAAACGAGCCAUACGAUGCAAGCUAUGAGGCAUUCCCCUACCAGUGACAUUGUGCCAUCCUCUUUGCUUUGACAUCACUUGUAAUAGCACCUUCCGCUCGUAUUCUUAAGUAGAUGUAUGCUCUAAACAUGUCAUGCAUUACCAUUAUCAUUAUCAUUGUUGGUAGUUGAAUAUUAUUAUAUAAUUUUAUAAGGUUUAUGUUGGAAUAUAACAUUAUGUAGUUCGCACGAAAUUUACAUGCAUGUUUCACAUGUUCUCAA